rnacentral:lncRNA from 1 species
GAGGAUCAACAUCAUCUUGAUAGAGUCCCAUAGUGUCUCAAAGUGGGGAGGUUAGGAUGCUGGUUAGUCAUGGAGUAUUUUCAGAGUGGAAGUUGAUCAGUGACGUUUUGUCAGGGAUUGAUCCAAUUUAUAAACUAGGUAAAAGAGAAAGAUUAUAAUGUAUAUUCAUUCAUUUAAUUCAUAAUCGUUCCUGUGGAUUUGAGAGUGGUUAUAUGGGCAGUCACCCAGGAACAAAGGACAAGAGGAUUGUCACUUAUGCCUUCAGGAAAUGUUUAUUGAAUGUCUACUAUGGGCCAGAAACAACAGACAGAAAUGCAGCUCUCAUUCUCGUGUGGGAGGCCCCAAACUACAAUUUCAAUAACACCAUUAAAAUCUUGGGCAACAAAGAUAAUAUGUAAUUACCUGAUAAAUUCGAAAGAUGUGAUGAACAAAUAAAAAAGAUCGUCUUGAGCCAGAAUACACACGUGUCCUUCCAGCGUGGAGAUUACUGUGAACUUGCAAACCAGCUUUCGUGCAGAAGGGGGCGAGAGAAUAGGUGGAAAAGAAUAUUGUCAAAUAAUUUUGAAAUUUAUCUCCUAACAUUUUCUGACCAUCUAUUAUUGAGAAAGGAAACAGUUUUUUAAAGCAAUGGCAUGAUUGUACAGUAAACCCUGAAGUGAAAUAUACCCAAAAAAUGUAUUUGUCAAGCAAUCACAUUUUGAUAACUUACAGACAUUUGCAAUUUAUCUUUCUUUUUUCCUCAAAUGGGGAAGAACAAAGUUAAUUUAAGUGAAAUGAAAUAAAAAUUAAAUUAAAAAAUGAAAAAAACCUUAAAAAAAAAAAAAAAAAA